AACGAACGCUGGCGGCAGGCUUAACACAUGCGAGUCGAACGGAUCCUUCGGGAUUAGUGGCAGACGGGUGAGUAACGCGUGGGAACGUACCCUUUGCUACGGAAUAACUCAGGGAAACUUGAGCUAAUACCGUAUGUGCCCUACGGGGGAAAGAUUUAUCGGCAAAGGAUCGGCCCGCGUUGGAUUAGCUAGUUGGUGGGGUAAUGGCCUACCAAGGCGACGAUCCAUAGCUGGUCUGAGAGGAUGAUCAGCCACACUGGGACUGAGACACGGCCCAGACUCCUACGGGAGGCAGCAGUGGGGAAUAUUGGACAAUGGGCGCAAGCCUGAUCCAGCCAUGCCGCGUGAGUGAUGAAGGUCUUAGGAUUGUAAAGCUCUUUCACCGGUGAAGAUAAUGACGGUAGCCGGAGAAGAAGCCCCGGCUAACUUCGUG
rnacentral:rRNA from 1 species